GGACAGAUGGCCGAGCGGUCUAAGGCGCUACGUUCAGGCGUUUGUCGGGUUUCUAUCCGACAUCCCCCAGUUUCGUAGUCUCGCAAGAGGCGUGGGUUCGAAUCCCACUCUGUUCA
rnacentral:tRNA from 1 species